rnacentral:tRNA from 1 species
GCUGGCAUAGCAAAGCGGUUAUGCAGCGCACUUGUAAUGCGUCGACGGCGGUUCGAAUCCGUCUGCCAGCACCA